CUGGCCCGCGCGCUGGCGGCCCGCACGGGGCCCGCCGCAGGCUCGGACCCGGCGGCGCGGCGGCGGCGGGGAGGCCGAGACGCCCCCCACCGGGAACUUCUCGCAGACUUUCGGGGCUUUCGGGACACAGACCGGCCAGGGCACCCGGACCGGCGGCCUCGGCCCCGCGUGUUCUAGUAAGAGCCGGGAGGGCCCUGGGGGCAUCUCAGUUGAUCCCUUUACAGCAAGUACAGGAUUGCACAGCUGGGGCCAAGGAAUGCCCAGUACUGCCAGGACCACUGGAUGGCAGAAGACUUCACCUAGCCUCUGGCGGUGCGUUGAAACAGAAUUUGAUCCAGAAAUUGCCUCCUUUUAGGCAAUGGACACUUUACUGAAAAAUUGCGUUUCUGGAAAUGUGCUAGGUUCAACGGGCCAGGGUGGCAUCACUUAAAGAGUGUCUGAUGGGCACCACCUACAGGCUAUUGGAGAAGAGCAUGCACCUGAAGCCCAGCUUCACCACUACUGAGAUGCAACCUCAGCAUGGCUUACCAAGUGGUGCCAUGUCUGCAACUGGGAUCUGCACUGGUGAACCCCAGGCCGCCGAAGCAGAACAUGCGAACUUUAACCACUGUGCCACCGGGCAGGCCCCUUCAUCAGACUUUUUAAUUUUAACCAUUCUAAAAAGUGUGUACUGGUAUCUAUGUGAAUUUUAAUAUCAAUUUCCCUAAAG
rnacentral:lncRNA from 1 species